rnacentral:misc_RNA from 1 species
GAUGAAGAACGUAGCGAAAUGCGAUAAGUAAUGUGAAUUGCAGAAUUCAGUGAAUCAUCGAAUCUUUGAACGCACCUUGCGCCCUUUGGCUAUUCCGAAGGGCAUGCCUGUUUGAGUAUCGUGAACACCUCAACUCUCAUGGUCUGCCAUGAUGAGCUUGGACUUUGGGGGUCUUGCCGGCCUAGCGUCGGCUCCUCUCAAAUGGAUCAGCUUGCCAGUGUUUGGUGGCAUCACAGGUGUGAUAACUAUCUACGCUUGUGGUUUUCUACCAUGUAACCUUCAGCGAUGGAGGUUCGCUGGGGCUCACAGACGUCUCUCCUUGGAGGACAGCUUUUUGAACGUUUGAUCUCAAAUCAGGUAGGACUACCCGCUGAACUUAAGCAUAUCAAUAAGCGGAGGA